UACGGAGGGUGCGAGCGUUGUCCGGAAUCAUUGGGCGUAAAGGGCGCGUAGGUGGCCCGGUCAGUCUUUGGUGAAAGCGCGGGGCUCAACCCUGCGUCGGCCAGGGAUACUGCCGGCGGCUCGAGCACUGUAGAGGCAGGCGGAAUUCCGGGUGUAGCGGUGGAAUGCGUAGAGAUCCGGAAGAACACCGGUGGCGAAGGCGGCCUGCUGGGCAGUUGCUGGACACUGAGGCGCGACAGCGUGGGGAGCAAACAGG
rnacentral:rRNA from 1 species